rnacentral:rRNA from 1 species
GUUGCAGUUAAAAAGCUCGUAGUUGGAUUUCUGCGGGGGCGGGGCGGCCGACCUCAACUCGAGGUUCGAGCUAGCACUUCCCCUGCAUCCUGCCGCGAACCGUGCUACCAUUAGUUUGGUGGCGCUGGGGAUCGGCUCGUUUACUUUGAGAAAAAUAGAGUGUUCAAAGCAGGCCACACGCCUUGAAUAAGUUAGCAUGGAAUAAUGAUAAAGGACUUCGGUUCUAUUUUGUUGGUGUUCGGGACUGAAGUAAUGAUUGAUAGGGACAGUUGGGGCGGUCAGUAUUCCAAAGCGAGAGGUGAAAUUCUUUGACCUUCGGAAGACUAACAGCUGCGAAAGCGUUCCGCAAGGAUGUUCCCUUUGAUCAAGAACGAAAGUUGGGGGAUCGAAAGACGAUCAGAUACCGUCGUAGUCUCAACUAUAAACUAUACC